rnacentral:rRNA from 1 species
AGUGAACGCUGGCGGUAGGCCUAACACAUGCAAGUCGAACGGCAGCACAGUAAGAGCUUGCUCUUACGGGUGGCGAGUGGCGGACGGGUGCGGAAUACAUCGGAAUCUACUUUUUCGUGGGGGAUAACGUAGGGAAACUUACGCUAAUACCGCAUACGACCUACGGGUGAAAGAAGGGGAUCUUCGGACCUUGCGCGAUUGAAUGAGCCGAUGUCGGAUUAGCUAGUUGGCGGGGUAAAGGCCCACCAAGGCGACGAUCCGUAGCUGGUCUGAGAGGAUGAUCAGCCACACUGGAACUGAGACACGGUCCAGACUCCUACGGGAGGCAGCAGUGGGGAAUAUUGGACAAUGGGCGCAAGCCUGAUCCAGCCAUACCGCGUGGGUGAAGAAGGCCUUCGGGUUGUAAAGCCCUUUUGUUGGGAAAGAAAAGCAGCAGGUUAAUACCCCGCUGUUCUGACGGUACCCAAAGAAUAAGCACCGGCUAACUUCGUG